GUCUACUGCCCUGCCACCCUUAAUGUGCCCUAUCCCGUCUGAUCUCGGAAGCUAAGCAGGGUCGGGCCUGGUUAGUACUUGGAGACCACCUAGGAAUACUAGGUGCCGUAGGCA
rnacentral:rRNA from 1 species